UGAGUUUGAUUAUGGCUCAGGAUGAACGCUGGCGAGAUGCCUUACACAUGCAAGUCGUACGAGAGUUUUUAACUCAAGUGGCGGACGGGUGAGUAACACGUAAGAAUUUGCCUUUAGGAGGGGGACAACAACUGGAAACGGUUGCUAAUACCCCAUAUGCUUUCGAGUGAAAUGGAUUUUCCGCCUAGAGAGAAGCUUGCGGCUGAUUAGCUUGUUGGUGAGGUAAUGGCUCACCAAGGCGACGAUCAGUAUCUGGUUUGAGAGGACGAUCAGACACACUGGAACUGAGACACGGUCCAGACUCCUACGGGAGGCAGCAGUGGGGGAUUUUCCGCAAUGGGCGAAAGCCUGACGGAGCAAUCUCGCGUGAGGGAUGACGGCCUAUGGGUUGUAAACCUCUUUUUUCAGGGAGGAAUCAACGACGUGUACCUGAAGAAUAAGCAUCGGCUAACUCCGUGCCAGCAGCCGCGGUAAGACGGAGGAUGCAAGUGUUAUCCGGAAUCACUGGGCGUAAAGCGUCUGUAGGUGGUNUAAUAAGUCAACUGUUAAAUCUUGAAGCUCAACUUCAAAAUCGCAGUCGAAACUAUUAGACUAGAGUAUAGUAGGGGUAAAGGGAAU
rnacentral:rRNA from 1 species